rnacentral:lncRNA from 1 species
UGUAACUACCAGCUACACCAUGUGUUACGAGGAAGAUCAGGUGUAGCAAAAUCCUUCCUAACCCUCAGACAUCAUGGUACACAUAGAAAAUAAUAAUAUCAUUUCUGUUUAAUAUUAGGUGUUGGUGUCAACAGAAGAGACUGCACAUGACCAGACGUGACCAGCUUAGGGGUUCCAGCAAAUCACCCUGCUUCUGGCCACCCAGGACUGAGGUGAUUGAUAUGUGGAACCCAGUCGUAGUUACUCAACACACUUCUGUACCACCCAAUGCUAACUGGAAAGCUCUGGUGCAGGAGUCCUCACAAGAAUUAAUCCCAUUCCCUUUGGAGUUGUUGUGGGGAUGAAAGAAGAUAACAUAAAAACAGAAAAAUGGUUAAGAGCACAGAUUCCACAGCCUAAUGUCCUGAGUUUAAAUUCUUACUCUGCCAUUUACCAGGUAAACAUCUUUGGGCAAGUCUCUUUUUAUCUCUGUGCCUUAAGUUUCUCAUAAAAUGUUAAAUGUGGUUUGGUAAUAAUACUACCAACUUUACGGUGUUCGGAGUAUAAAAUAUUCUCAGACUGUUGGCUGGCAUGUAAUAUGCAUUGUGUUGAUGUUUCCUAUAAUGCAUUGAGCAAAGACAUUUGUACUAGUUGGUAUACAGUAAAUGACAGACUUUAGUAGAUAAAGAGAUAGAUACACACAUGCAUACAUAAAUACAUAGACAGACAACAUUGGUUUAGAAAGUAGAUAACUUCUGGCCAUAGAUACUUAUGUAGAAAACUUGAUGUUUGAAUUGCCCAAUGAAUGAUAGAUAUAAUU